UACGGAGGGUGCAAGCAUUAAUCGGAUUUAUUGGGCGUAAAGAGAGCGUAGGCGGAGAUGUAAGUCAGAUGUGAAAGCCCGGGGCUCAACCCCGGAACGGCAUUUGAAACUGUAUUUCUAGAGGAUAGGCGGAGAAAACGGAAUUCCACAUGUAGCGGUGAAAUGCGUAGAUAUGUGGAGGAACACCGAUGGCGUAGGCAGCCUCCUGGGCCAAUCCUGACGCUCAGGCACGAAAGCGUGGGGAUCAAACAGG
rnacentral:rRNA from 1 species